UCCUUAGGGGGGCCACCAGUGGGAAAUAUUGGCCAAUGGGGGAAAGCCUGUUCCAGCCCUUCCGGGUGUUUAAAGAAGGUUUUUGGAUGUAAAGCCCUUUAAGUUGGGAGGAAGGGCAGUAAGUUAUUCCCAAGAAGUUUGGACGUUACUGACAGAAUAAGCACCGGCUAACUCUGUGCCAGCAGCCGCGGUAAUACAGAGGGUGCAAGCGUUAAUCGGAAUUACUGGGCGUAAAGCGUGCGUAGGUGGUUUUUUAAGUUGGAUGUGAAAUCCCCGGGCUCAACUUGGGAAUUGCAUUCAAAACUGGCAAGCUAGAGUAUGGUAGAGGAUGGUGGAAUUUCAGGUGUAGCGGUGAAAUGCGUAGAUAUAGGGAGGAACACCAGUGGAGAAGGCGACCACCUGGAAUAAUACUGACAAUGAGGUGGGAAAGCGUGGGGAGGAAAGAGGAUUAGAUACCCUGGGGGUCCAAGGCCAAAAAGCCAAUAUACGCACG
rnacentral:rRNA from 1 species